rnacentral:rRNA from 1 species
CUGUUGUUUGGAGACCUUCGGGUGGAAGAAUGACAGACUGAGUGGCGGACGGGUGAGUAACGCGUGGGUAACCUACCUUGCACAGGGGGACAACAGUUGGAAACGACCGCUAAUACCGCAUAAGACCACAGUACCGCAUGGUACAGGGGUAAAAACUGAGGUGGUGCAAGAUGGACCCGCGUCUGAUUAGCUAGUUGGUGGGGUAAAGGCCUACCAAGGCGACGAUCAGUAGCCGACCUGAGAGGGUGAUCGGCCACAUUGGGACUGAGACACGGCCCAAACUCCUACGGGAGGCAGCAGUGGGGAAUAUUGGACAAUGGGGGGAACCCUGAUCCAGCGACGCCGCGUGAGUGAAGAAGUAUUUCGGUAUGUAAAGCUCUAUCAGCAGGGAAGAAAAUGACGGUACCUGACUAAGAAGCCCCGGCUAACUACGUGCCAGCAGCCGCAGUAAUACGUAGGGGGCAAGCGUUAUCCGGAUUUACUGGGUGUAAAGGGAGCGCAGACGGCUUGGCAAGUCUGAAGUGAAAGCCCGGGGCUUAACCCCGGGACUGCUUUGGAAACUGUGAAGCUAGAGUGUCGGAGAGGUAAGUGGAAUUCCCAGUGUAGCGGUGAAAUGCGUAGAUAUUGGGAGGAACACCGGUGGCGAAGGCGGCUUACUGGACGAUAACUGACGUUGAGGCUCGAAGGCGUGGGGAGCAAACAGGAUUAG